UUUUGGCACGCAAAAAAGAUCGAAAGCGGAUUCUCAGGGUGUUUUUGAUGCUUUCUGAACGCCAUUAACCUCGACGCACUUUUUCGCUCGAAACAAAAUGGCAAGAAAAUCAUGUGGGUCCCACGGCCUCACACUUGGAUUGGCUGCAAAAAGGAUAUGUAGAAACGAGAGUGAUAUACUGACGGGUGCGAUCAUACCAGCACUAAUGCACCGGAUCCCAUCAGAACUCCGCAGUUAAGCGUGCUUGGGCGAGAGUAGUACUAGGAUGGGUGACCUCCCGGGAAGUCCUCGUGUUGCACCCCUUUUUAUUUUUUAAUUUUUUUUAAUGCAUCCUAAGACGAGUCUAAACUUGGAAACCUCAUAACUUUUGAACCGUGAGGAACUACGUCGCCCAUAGCACCAUUUCGGAAAGCCCCAGAAACCAUAAUGGGCGGUGAAUAGGCGGCGCCAAUUUUUCGGGCUCAAAUUCAGCCGUUUUGACCCUCAAACGGGCUGCGGAAAGUUUUGGCACGCAAAAAAGAUCGAAAGCGGAUUCUCAGGGUGUUUUUGAUGCUUUCUGAACGCCAUUAACCUCGACGCACUUUUUCGCUCGAAACAAAAUGGCAAGAAAAUCAUGUGGGUCCCACGGCCUCACACUUGGAUUGGCUGCGAAAAGGAUAUGUAGAAACGAGAGUGAUGUACUGACGGGUGCGAUCAUACCAGCACUAAUGCACCGGAUCCCAUCAGAACUCCGCAGUUAAGCGUGCUUGGGCGAGAGUAGUACUAGGAUGGGUGACCUCCCGGGAAGUCCUCGUGUUGCACCCCUUUUUAUUUUUUAAUUUUUUUUAAUGCAUCCUAAGACGAGUCUAAACUUGGAAACCUCAUAACUUUUGAACCGUGAGGAACUACGUCGCCCAUAGCACCAUUUCGGAAAGCCCCAGAAACCAUAAUGGGCGGUGAAUAGGCGGCGCCAAUUUUUCGGGCUCAAAUUCAGCCGUUUUGACCCUCAAACGGGCUGCGGAAAGUUUUGGCACGCAAAAAAGAUCGAAAGCGGAUUCUCAGGGUGUUUUUGAUGCUUUCUGAACGCCAUUAACCUCGACGCACUUUUUCGCUCGAAACAAAAUGGCAAGAAAAUCAUGUGGGUCCCACGGCCUCACACUUGGAUUGGCUGCGAAAAGGAUAUGUAGAAGCGAGAGUGAUGUACUGACGGGUGCGAUCAUACCAGCACUAAUGCACCGGAUCCCAUCAGAACUCCGCAGUUAAGCGUGCUAGAGUAGUGGGUGACCUCCCGGGAAGUCCUCGUGUUGCACCCCUUUUUAUUUUUUAAUUUUUUUUAAUGCAUCCUAAGACGAGUCUAAACUUGGAAACCUCAUAACUUUUGAACCGUGAGGAACUACGUCGCCCAUAGCACCAUUUCGGAAAGCCCCAGAAACCAUAAUGGGCGGUGAAUAGGCGGCGCCAAUUUUUCGGGCUCAAAUUCAGCCGUUUUGACCCUCAAACGGGCUGCGGAAAGUUUUGGCACGCAAAAAAGAUCGAAAGCGGAUUCUCAGGGUGUUUUUGAUGCUUUCUGAACGCCAUUAACCUCGACGCACUUUUUCGCUCGAAACAAAAUGGCAAGAAAAUCAUGUGGGUCCCACGGCCUCACACUUGGAUUGGCUGCGAAAAGGAUAUGUAGAAACGAGAGUGAUGUACUGACGGGUGCGAUCAUACCAGCACUAAUGCACCGGAUCCCAUCAGAACUCCGCAGUUAAGCGUGCUUGGGCGAGAGUAGUACUAGGAUGGGUGACCUCCCGGGAAGUCCUCGUGUUGCACCCCUUUUUAUUUUUUAAUUUUUUUUAAUGCAUCCUAAGACGAGUCUAAACUUGGAAACCUCAUAACUUUUGAACCGUGAGGAACUACGUCGCCCAUAGCACCAUUUCGGAAAGCCCCAGAAACCAUAAUGGGCGGUGAAUAGGCGGCGCCAAUUUUUCGGGCUCAAAUUCAGCCGUUUUGACCCUCAAACGGGCUGCGGAAAGUUUUGGCACGCAAAAAAGAUCGAAAGCGGAUUCUCAGGGUGUUUUUGAUGCUUUCUGAACGCCAUUAACCUCGACGCACUUUUUCGCUCGAAACAAAAUGGCAAGAAAAUCAUGUGGGUCCCACGGCCUCACACUUGGAUUGGCUGCGAAAAGGAUAUGUAGAAACGAGAGUGAUGUACUGACGGGUGCGAUCAUACCAGCACUAAUGCACCGGAUCCCAUCAGAACUCCGCAGUUAAGCGUGCUUGGGCGAGAGUAGUACUAGGAUGGGUGACCUCCCGGGAAGUCCUCGUGUUGCACCCCUUUUUAUUUUUUAAUUUUUUUUAAUGCAUCCUAAGACGAGUCUAAACUUGGAAACCUCAUAACUUUUGAACCGUGAGGAACUACGUCGCCCAUAGCACCAUUUCGGAAAGCCCCAGAAACCAUAAUGGGCGGUGAAUAGGCGGCGCCAAUUUUUCGGGCUCAAAUUCAGCCGUUUUGACCCUCAAACGGGCUGCGGAAAGUUUUGGCACGCAAAAAAGAUCGAAAGCGGAUUCUCAGGGUGUUUUUGAUGCUUUCUGAACGCCAUUAACCUCGACGCACUUUUUCGCUCGAAACAAAUUGGCAAGAAAAUCAUGUGGGUCCCACGGCCUCACAGGCUGCGAAAAGGAUAUGUAGAAACGAGAGUGAUGUACUGACGGGUGCGAUCAUACCAGCACUAAUGCACCGGAUCCCAUCAGAACUCCGCAGUUAAGCGUGCUUGGGCGAGAGUAGUACUAGGAUGGGUGACCUCCCGGGAAGUCCUCGUGUUGCACCCCUUUUUAUUUUUUAAUUUUUUUUAAUGCAUCCUAAGACGAGUCUAAACUUGGAAACCUCAUAACUUUUGAACCGUGAGGAACUACGUCGCCCAUAGCACCAUUUCGGAAAGCCCCAGAAACCAUAAUGGGCGGUGAAUAGGCGGCGCCAAUUUUUCGGGCUCAAAUUCAGCCGUUUUGACCCUCAAACGGGCUGCGGAAAGUUUUGGCACGCAAAAAAGAUCGAAAGCGGAUUCUCAGGGUGUUUUUGAUGCUUUCUGAACGCCAUUAACCUCGACGCACUUUUUCGCUCGAAACAAAAUGGCAAGAAAAUCAUGUGGGUCCCACGGCCUCACAGGCUGCGAAAAGGAUAUGUAGAAACGAGAGUGAUGUACUGACGGGUGCGAUCAUACCAGCACUAAUGCACCGGAUCCCAUCAGAACUCCGCAGUUAAGCGUGCUUGGGCGAGAGUAGUACUAGGAUGGGUGACCUCCCGGGAAGUCCUCGUGUUGCACCCCUUUUUAUUUUUUAAUUUUUUUUAAUGCAUCCUAAGACGAGUCUAAACUUGGAAACCUCAUAACUUUUGAACCGUGAGGAACUACGUCGCCCAUAGCACCAUUUCGGAAAGCCCCAGAAACCAUAAUGGGCGGUGAAUAGGCGGCGCCAAUUUUUCGGGCUCAAAUUCAGCCGUUUUGACCCUCAAACGGGCUGCGGAAAGUUUUGGCACGCAAAAAAGAUCGAAAGCGGAUUCUCAGGGUGUUUUUGAUGCUUUCUGAACGCCAUUAACCUCGACGCACUUUUUCGCUCGAAACAAAUUGGCAAGAAAAUCAUGUGGGUCCCACGGCCUCACAGGCUGCGAAAAGGAUAUGUAGAAACGAGAGUGAUGUACUGACGGGUGCGAUCAUACCAGCACUAAUGCACCGGAUCCCAUCAGAACUCCGCAGUUAAGCGUGCUUGGGCGAGAGUAGUACUAGGAUGGGUGACCUCCCGGGAAGUCCUCGUGUUGCACCCCUUUUUAUUUUUUAAUUUUUUUUAAUGCAUCCUAAGACGAGUCUAAACUUGGAAACCUCAUAACUUUUGAACCGUGAGGAACUACGUCGCCCAUAGCACCAUUUCGGAAAGCCCCAGAAACCAUAAUGGGCGGUGAAUAGGCGGCGCCAAUUUUUCGGGCUCAAAUUCAGCCGUUUUGACCCUCAAACGGGCUGCGGAAAGUUUUGGCACGCAAAAAAGAUCGAAAGCGGAUUCUCAGGGUGUUUUUGAUGCUUUCUGAACGCCAUUAACCUCGACGCACUUUUUCGCUCGAAACAAAAUGGCAAGAAAAUCAUGUGGGUCCCACGGCCUCACAGGCUGCGAAAAGGAUAUGUAGAAACGAGAGUGAUGUACUGACGGGUGCGAUCAUACCAGCACUAAUGCACCGGAUCCCAUCAGAACUCCGCAGUUAAGCGUGCUUGGGCGAGAGUAGUACUAGGAUGGGUGACCUCCCGGGAAGUCCUCGUGUUGCACCCCUUUUUAUUUUUUAAUUUUUUUUAAUGCAUCCUAAGACGAGUCUAAACUUGGAAACCUCAUAACUUUUGAACCGUGAGGAACUACGUCGCCCAUAGCACCAUUUCGGAAAGCCCCAGAAACCAUAAUGGGCGGUGAAUAGGCGGCGCCAAUUUUUCGGGCUCAAAUUCAGCCGUUUUGACCCUCAAACGGGCUGCGGAAAGUUUUGGCACGCAAAAAAGAUCGAAAGCGGAUUCUCAGGGUGUUUUUGAUGCUUUCUGAACGCCAUUAACCUCGACGCACUUUUUCGCUCGAAACAAAUGGCAAGAAAAUCAUGUGGGUCCCACGGCCUCACAGGCUGCGAAAAGGAUAUGUAGAAACGAGAGUGAUGUACUGACGGGUGCGAUCAUACCAGCACUAAUGCACCGGAUCCCAUCAGAACUCCGCAGUUAAGCGUGCUUGGGCGAGAGUAGUACUAGGAUGGGUGACCUCCCGGGAAGUCCUCGUGUUGCACCCCUUUUUAUUUUUUAAUUUUUUUUAAUGCAUCCUAAGACGAGUCUAAACUUGGAAACCUCAUAACUUUUGAACCGUGAGGAACUACGUCGCCCAUAGCACCAUUUCGGAAAGCCCCAGAAACCAUAAUGGGCGGUGAAUAGGCGGCGCCAAUUUUUCGGGCUCAAAUUCAGCCGUUUUGACCCUCAAACGGGCUGCGGAAAGUUUUGGCACGCAAAAAAGAUCGAAAGCGGAUUCUCAGGGUGUUUUUGAUGCUUUCUGAACGCCAUUAACCUCGACGCACUUUUUCGCUCGAAACAAAAUGGCAAGAAAAUCAUGUGGGUCCCACGGCCUCACAGGCUGCGAAAAGGAUAUGUAGAAACGAGAGUGAUGUACUGACGGGUGCGAUCAUACCAGCACUAAUGCACCGGAUCCCAUCAGAACUCCGCAGUUAAGCGUGCUUGGGCGAGAGUAGUACUAGGAUGGGUGACCUCCCGGGAAGUCCUCGUGUUGCACCCCUUUUUAUUUUUUAAUUUUUUUUAAUGCAUCCUAAGACGAGUCUAAACUUGGAAACCUCAUAACUUUUGAACCGUGAGGAACUACGUCGCCCAUAGCACCAUUUCGGAAAGCCCCAGAAACCAUAAUGGGCGGUGAAUAGGCGGCGCCAAUUUUUCGGGCUCAAAUUCAGCCGUUUUGACCCUCAAACGGGCUGCGGAAAGUUUUGGCACGCAAAAAAGAUCGAAAGCGGAUUCUCAGGGUGUUUUUGAUGCUUUCUGAACGCCAUUAACCUCGACGCACUUUUUCGCUCGAAACAAAUGGCAAGAAAAUCAUGUGGGUCCCACGGCCUCACAGGCUGCGAAAAGGAUAUGUAGAAACGAGAGUGAUGUACUGACGGGUGCGAUCAUACCAGCACUAAUGCACCGGAUCCCAUCAGAACUCCGCAGUUAAGCGUGCUUGGGCGAGAGUAGUACUAGGAUGGGUGACCUCCCGGGAAGUCCUCGUGUUGCACCCCUUUUUAUUUUUUAAUUUUUUUUAAUGCAUCCUAAGACGAGUCUAAACUUGGAAACCUCAUAACUUUUGAACCGUGAGGAACUACGUCGCCCAUAGCACCAUUUCGGAAAGCCCCAGAAACCAUAAUGGGCGGUGAAUAGGCGGCGCCAAUUUUUCGGGCUCAAAUUCAGCCGUUUUGACCCUCAAACGGGCUGCGGAAAGUUUUGGCACGCAAAAAAGAUCGAAAGCGGAUUCUCAGGGUGUUUUUGAUGCUUUCUGAACGCCAUUAACCUCGACGCACUUUUUCGCUCGAAACAAAUGGCAAGAAAAUCAUGUGGGUCCCACGGCCUCACAGGCUGCGAAAAGGAUAUGUAGAAACGAGAGUGAUGUACUGACGGGUGCGAUCAUACCAGCACUAAUGCACCGGAUCCCAUCAGAACUCCGCAGUUAAGCGUGCUUGGGCGAGAGUAGUACUAGGAUGGGUGACCUCCCGGGAAGUCCUCGUGUUGCACCCCUUUUUAUUUUUUAAUUUUUUUUAAUGCAUCCUAAGACGAGUCUAAACUUGGAAACCUCAUAACUUUUGAACCGUGAGGAACUACGUCGCCCAUAGCACCAUUUCGGAAAGCCCCAGAAACCAUAAUGGGCGGUGAAUAGGCGGCGCCAAUUUUUCGGGCUCAAAUUCAGCCGUUUUGACCCUCAAACGGGCUGCGGAAAGUUUUGGCACGCAAAAAAGAUCGAAAGCGGAUUCUCAGGGUGUUUUUGAUGCUUUCUGAACGCCAUUAACCUCGACGCACUUUUUCGCUCGAAACAAAUGGCAAGAAAAUCAUGUGGGUCCCACGGCCUCACAGGCUGCGAAAAGGAUAUGUAGAAACGAGAGUGAUGUACUGACGGGUGCGAUCAUACCAGCACUAAUGCACCGGAUCCCAUCAGAACUCCGCAGUUAAGCGUGCUUGGGCGAGAGUAGUACUAGGAUGGGUGACCUCCCGGGAAGUCCUCGUGUUGCACCCCUUUUUAUUUUUUAAUUUUUUUUAAUGCAUCCUAAGACGAGUCUAAACUUGGAAACCUCAUAACUUUUGAACCGUGAGGAACUACGUCGCCCAUAGCACCAUUUCGGAAAGCCCCAGAAACCAUAAUGGGCGGUGAAUAGGCGGCGCCAAUUUUUCGGGCUCAAAUUCAGCCGUUUUGACCCUCAAACGGGCUGCGGAAAGUUUUGGCACGCAAAAAAGAUCGAAAGCGGAUUCUCAGGGUGUUUUUGAUGCUUUCUGAACGCCAUUAACCUCGACGCACUUUUUCGCUCGAAACAAAUGGCAAGAAAAUCAUGUGGGUCCCACGGCCUCACAGGCUGCGAAAAGGAUAUGUAGAAACGAGAGUGAUGUACUGACGGGUGCGAUCAUACCAGCACUAAUGCACCGGAUCCCAUCAGAACUCCGCAGUUAAGCGUGCUUGGGCGAGAGUAGUACUAGGAUGGGUGACCUCCCGGGAAGUCCUCGUGUUGCACCCCUUUUUAUUUUUUAAUUUUUUUUAAUGCAUCCUAAGACGAGUCUAAACUUGGAAACCUCAUAACUUUUGAACCGUGAGGAACUACGUCGCCCAUAGCACCAUUUCGGAAAGCCCCAGAAACCAUAAUGGGCGGUGAAUAGGCGGCGCCAAUUUUUCGGGCUCAAAUUCAGCCGUUUUGACCCUCAAACGGGCUGCGGAAAGUUUUGGCACGCAAAAAAGAUCGAAAGCGGAUUCUCAGGGUGUUUUUGAUGCUUUCUGAACGCCAUUAACCUCGACGCACUUUUUCGCUCGAAACAAAUUGGCAAGAAAAUCAUGUGGGUCCCACGGCCUCACAGGCUGCGAAAAGGAUAUGUAGAAACGAGAGUGAUGUACUGACGGGUGCGAUCAUACCAGCACUAAUGCACCGGAUCCCAUCAGAACUCCGCAGUUAAGCGUGCUUGGGCGAGAGUAGUACUAGGAUGGGUGACCUCCCGGGAAGUCCUCGUGUUGCACCCCUUUUUAUUUUUUAAUUUUUUUUAAUGCAUCCUAAGACGAGUCUAAACUUGGAAACCUCAUAACUUUUGAACCGUGAGGAACUACGUCGCCCAUAGCACCAUUUCGGAAAGCCCCAGAAACCAUAAUGGGCGGUGAAUAGGCGGCGCCAAUUUUUCGGGCUCAAAUUCAGCCGUUUUGACCCUCAAACGGGCUGCGGAAAGUUUUGGCACGCAAAAAAGAUCGAAAGCGGAUUCUCAGGGUGUUUUUGAUGCUUUCUGAACGCCAUUAACCUCGACGCACUUUUUCGCUCGAAACAAAAUGGCAAGAAAAUCAUGUGGGUCCCACGGCCUCACAGGCUGCGAAAAGGAUAUGUAGAAACGAGAGUGAUGUACUGACGGGUGCGAUCAUACCAGCACUAAUGCACCGGAUCCCAUCAGAACUCCGCAGUUAAGCGUGCUUGGGCGAGAGUAGUACUAGGAUGGGUGACCUCCCGGGAAGUCCUCGUGUUGCACCCCUUUUUAUUUUUUAAUUUUUUUUAAUGCAUCCUAAGACGAGUCUAAACUUGGAAACCUCAUAACUUUUGAACCGUGAGGAACUACGUCGCCCAUAGCACCAUUUCGGAAAGCCCCAGAAACCAUAAUGGGCGGUGAAUAGGCGGCGCCAAUUUUUCGGGCUCAAAUUCAGCCGUUUUGACCCUCAAACGGGCUGCGGAAAGUUUUGGCACGCAAAAAAGAUCGAAAGCGGAUUCUCAGGGUGUUUUUGAUGCUUUCUGAACGCCAUUAACCUCGACGCACUUUUUCGCUCGAAACAAAUUGGCAAGAAAAUCAUGUGGGUCCCACGGCCUCACAGGAUUGGCUGCGAAAAGGAUAUGUAGAAACGAGAGUGAUGUACUGACGGGUGCGAUCAUACCAGCACUAAUGCACCGGAUCCCAUCAGAACUCCGCAGUUAAGCGUGCUUGGGCGAGAGUAGUACUAGGAUGGGUGACCUCCCGGGAAGUCCUCGUGUUGCACCCCUUUUUAUUUUUUAAUUUUUUUUAAUGCAUCCUAAGACGAGUCUAAACUUGGAAACCUCAUAACUUUUGAACCGUGAGGAACUACGUCGCCCAUAGCACCAUUUCGGAAAGCCCCAGAAACCAUAAUGGGCGGUGAAUAGGCGGCGCCAAUUUUUCGGGCUCAAAUUCAGCCGUUUUGACCCUCAAACGGGCUGCGGAAAGUUUUGGCACGCAAAAAAGAUCGAAAGCGGAUUCUCAGGGUGUUUUUGAUGCUUUCUGAACGCCAUUAACCUCGACGCACUUUUUCGCUCGAAACAAAAUGGCAAGAAAAUCAUGUGGGUCCCACGGCCUCACAGGCUGCGAAAAGGAUAUGUAGAAACGAGAGUGAUGUACUGACGGGUGCGAUCAUACCAGCACUAAUGCACCGGAUCCCAUCAGAACUCCGCAGUUAAGCGUGCUUGGGCGAGAGUAGUACUAGGAUGGGUGACCUCCCGGGAAGUCCUCGUGUUGCACCCCUUUUUAUUUUUUAAUUUUUUUUAAUGCAUCCUAAGACGAGUCUAAACUUGGAAACCUCAUAACUUUUGAACCGUGAGGAACUACGUCGCCCAUAGCACCAUUUCGGAAAGCCCCAGAAACCAUAAUGGGCGGUGAAUAGGCGGCGCCAAUUUUUCGGGCUCAAAUUCAGCCGUUUUGACCCUCAAACGGGCUGCGGAAAGUUUUGGCACGCAAAAAAGAUCGAAAGCGGAUUCUCAGGGUGUUUUUGAUGCUUUCUGAACGCCAUUAACCUCGACGCACUUUUUCGCUCGAAACAAAUGGCAAGAAAAUCAUGUGGGUCCCACGGCCUCACAGGCUGCGAAAAGGAUAUGUAGAAACGAGAGUGAUGUACUGACGGGUGCGAUCAUACCAGCACUAAUGCACCGGAUCCCAUCAGAACUCCGCAGUUAAGCGUGCUUGGGCGAGAGUAGUACUAGGAUGGGUGACCUCCCGGGAAGUCCUCGUGUUGCACCCCUUUUUAUUUUUUAAUUUUUUUUAAUGCAUCCUAAGACGAGUCUAAACUUGGAAACCUCAUAACUUUUGAACCGUGAGGAACUACGUCGCCCAUAGCACCAUUUCGGAAAGCCCCAGAAACCAUAAUGGGCGGUGAAUAGGCGGCGCCAAUUUUUCGGGCUCAAAUUCAGCCGUUUUGACCCUCAAACGGGCUGCGGAAAGUUUUGGCACGCAAAAAAGAUCGAAAGCGGAUUCUCAGGGUGUUUUUGAUGCUUUCUGAACGCCAUUAACCUCGACGCACUUUUUCGCUCGAAACAAAUGGCAAGAAAAUCAUGUGGGUCCCACGGCCUCACAGGCUGCGAAAAGGAUAUGUAGAAACGAGAGUGAUGUACUGACGGGUGCGAUCAUACCAGCACUAAUGCACCGGAUCCCAUCAGAACUCCGCAGUUAAGCGUGCUUGGGCGAGAGUAGUACUAGGAUGGGUGACCUCCCGGGAAGUCCUCGUGUUGCACCCCUUUUUAUUUUUUAAUUUUUUUUAAUGCAUCCUAAGACGAGUCUAAACUUGGAAACCUCAUAACUUUUGAACCGUGAGGAACUACGUCGCCCAUAGCACCAUUUCGGAAAGCCCCAGAAACCAUAAUGGGCGGUGAAUAGGCGGCGCCAAUUUUUCGGGCUCAAAUUCAGCCGUUUUGACCCUCAAACGGGCUGCGGAAAGUUUUGGCACGCAAAAAAGAUCGAAAGCGGAUUCUCAGGGUGUUUUUGAUGCUUUCUGAACGCCAUUAACCUCGACGCACUUUUUCGCUCGAAACAAAUUGGCAAGAAAAUCAUGUGGGUCCCACGGCCUCACAGGCUGCGAAAAGGAUAUGUAGAAACGAGAGUGAUGUACUGACGGGUGCGAUCAUACCAGCACUAAUGCACCGGAUCCCAUCAGAACUCCGCAGUUAAGCGUGCUUGGGCGAGAGUAGUACUAGGAUGGGUGACCUCCCGGGAAGUCCUCGUGUUGCACCCCUUUUUAUUUUUUAAUUUUUUUUAAUGCAUCCUAAGACGAGUCUAAACUUGGAAACCUCAUAACUUUUGAACCGUGAGGAACUACGUCGCCCAUAGCACCAUUUCGGAAAGCCCCAGAAACCAUAAUGGGCGGUGAAUAGGCGGCGCCAAUUUUUCGGGCUCAAAUUCAGCCGUUUUGACCCUCAAACGGGCUGCGGAAAGUUUUGGCACGCAAAAAAGAUCGAAAGCGGAUUCUCAGGGUGUUUUUGAUGCUUUCUGAACGCCAUUAACCUCGACGCACUUUUUCGCUCGAAACAAAUUGGCAAGAAAAUCAUGUGGGUCCCACGGCCUCACAGGCUGCGAAAAGGAUAUGUAGAAACGAGAGUGAUGUACUGACGGGUGCGAUCAUACCAGCACUAAUGCACCGGAUCCCAUCAGAACUCCGCAGUUAAGCGUGCUUGGGCGAGAGUAGUACUAGGAUGGGUGACCUCCCGGGAAGUCCUCGUGUUGCACCCCUUUUUAUUUUUUAAUUUUUUUUAAUGCAUCCUAAGACGAGUCUAAACUUGGAAACCUCAUAACUUUUGAACCGUGAGGAACUACGUCGCCCAUAGCACCAUUUCGGAAAGCCCCAGAAACCAUAAUGGGCGGUGAAUAGGCGGCGCCAAUUUUUCGGGCUCAAAUUCAGCCGUUUUGACCCUCAAACGGGCUGCGGAAAGUUUUGGCACGCAAAAAAGAUCGAAAGCGGAUUCUCAGGGUGUUUUUGAUGCUUUCUGAACGCCAUUAACCUCGACGCACUUUUUCGCUCGAAACAAAUUGGCAAGAAAAUCAUGUGGGUCCCACGGCCUCACAGGCUGCGAAAAGGAUAUGUAGAAACGAGAGUGAUGUACUGACGGGUGCGAUCAUACCAGCACUAAUGCACCGGAUCCCAUCAGAACUCCGCAGUUAAGCGUGCUUGGGCGAGAGUAGUACUAGGAUGGGUGACCUCCCGGGAAGUCCUCGUGUUGCACCCCUUUUUAUUUUUUAAUUUUUUUUAAUGCAUCCUAAGACGAGUCUAAACUUGGAAACCUCAUAACUUUUGAACCGUGAGGAACUACGUCGCCCAUAGCACCAUUUCGGAAAGCCCCAGAAACCAUAAUGGGCGGUGAAUAGGCGGCGCCAAUUUUUCGGGCUCAAAUUCAGCCGUUUUGACCCUCAAACGGGCUGCGGAAAGUUUUGGCACGCAAAAAAGAUCGAAAGCGGAUUCUCAGGGUGUUUUUGAUGCUUUCUGAACGCCAUUAACCUCGACGCACUUUUUCGCUCGAAACAAAUUGGCAAGAAAAUCAUGUGGGUCCCACGGCCUCACAGGCUGCGAAAAGGAUAUGUAGAAACGAGAGUGAUGUACUGACGGGUGCGAUCAUACCAGCACUAAUGCACCGGAUCCCAUCAGAACUCCGCAGUUAAGCGUGCUUGGGCGAGAGUAGUACUAGGAUGGGUGACCUCCCGGGAAGUCCUCGUGUUGCACCCCUUUUUAUUUUUUAAUUUUUUUUAAUGCAUCCUAAGACGAGUCUAAACUUGGAAACCUCAUAACUUUUGAACCGUGAGGAACUACGUCGCCCAUAGCACCAUUUCGGAAAGCCCCAGAAACCAUAAUGGGCGGUGAAUAGGCGGCGCCAAUUUUUCGGGCUCAAAUUCAGCCGUUUUGACCCUCAAACGGGCUGCGGAAAGUUUUGGCACGCAAAAAAGAUCGAAAGCGGAUUCUCAGGGUGUUUUUGAUGCUUUCUGAACGCCAUUAACCUCGACGCACUUUUUCGCUCGAAACAAAUUGGCAAGAAAAUCAUGUGGGUCCCACGGCCUCACAGGCUGCGAAAAGGAUAUGUAGAAACGAGAGUGAUGUACUGACGGGUGCGAUCAUACCAGCACUAAUGCACCGGAUCCCAUCAGAACUCCGCAGUUAAGCGUGCUUGGGCGAGAGUAGUACUAGGAUGGGUGACCUCCCGGGAAGUCCUCGUGUUGCACCCCUUUUUAUUUUUUAAUUUUUUUUAAUGCAUCCUAAGACGAGUCUAAACUUGGAAACCUCAUAACUUUUGAACCGUGAGGAACUACGUCGCCCAUAGCACCAUUUCGGAAAGCCCCAGAAACCAUAAUGGGCGGUGAAUAGGCGGCGCCAAUUUUUCGGGCUCAAAUUCAGCCGUUUUGACCCUCAAACGGGCUGCGGAAAGUUUUGGCACGCAAAAAAGAUCGAAAGCGGAUUCUCAGGGUGUUUUUGAUGCUUUCUGAACGCCAUUAACCUCGACGCACUUUUUCGCUCGAAACAAAUUGGCAAGAAAAUCAUGUGGGUCCCACGGCCUCACAGGCUGCGAAAAGGAUAUGUAGAAACGAGAGUGAUGUACUGACGGGUGCGAUCAUACCAGCACUAAUGCACCGGAUCCCAUCAGAACUCCGCAGUUAAGCGUGCUUGGGCGAGAGUAGUACUAGGAUGGGUGACCUCCCGGGAAGUCCUCGUGUUGCACCCCUUUUUAUUUUUUAAUUUUUUUUAAUGCAUCCUAAGACGAGUCUAAACUUGGAAACCUCAUAACUUUUGAACCGUGAGGAACUACGUCGCCCAUAGCACCAUUUCGGAAAGCCCCAGAAACCAUAAUGGGCGGUGAAUAGGCGGCGCCAAUUUUUCGGGCUCAAAUUCAGCCGUUUUGACCCUCAAACGGGCUGCGGAAAGUUUUGGCACGCAAAAAAGAUCGAAAGCGGAUUCUCAGGGUGUUUUUGAUGCUUUCUGAACGCCAUUAACCUCGACGCACUUUUUCGCUCGAAACAAAUUGGCAAGAAAAUCAUGUGGGUCCCACGGCCUCACAGGCUGCGAAAAGGAUAUGUAGAAACGAGAGUGAUGUACUGACGGGUGCGAUCAUACCAGCACUAAUGCACCGGAUCCCAUCAGAACUCCGCAGUUAAGCGUGCUUGGGCGAGAGUAGUACUAGGAUGGGUGACCUCCCGGGAAGUCCUCGUGUUGCACCCCUUUUUAUUUUUUAAUUUUUUUUAAUGCAUCCUAAGACGAGUCUAAACUUGGAAACCUCAUAACUUUUGAACCGUGAGGAACUACGUCGCCCAUAGCACCAUUUCGGAAAGCCCCAGAAACCAUAAUGGGCGGUGAAUAGGCGGCGCCAAUUUUUCGGGCUCAAAUUCAGCCGUUUUGACCCUCAAACGGGCUGCGGAAAGUUUUGGCACGCAAAAAAGAUCGAAAGCGGAUUCUCAGGGUGUUUUUGAUGCUUUCUGAACGCCAUUAACCUCGACGCACUUUUUCGCUCGAAACAAAUUGGCAAGAAAAUCAUGUGGGUCCCACGGCCUCACAGGCUGCGAAAAGGAUAUGUAGAAACGAGAGUGAUGUACUGACGGGUGCGAUCAUACCAGCACUAAUGCACCGGAUCCCAUCAGAACUCCGCAGUUAAGCGUGCUUGGGCGAGAGUAGUACUAGGAUGGGUGACCUCCCGGGAAGUCCUCGUGUUGCACCCCUUUUUAUUUUUUAAUUUUUUUUAAUGCAUCCUAAGACGAGUCUAAACUUGGAAACCUCAUAACUUUUGAACCGUGAGGAACUACGUCGCCCAUAGCACCAUUUCGGAAAGCCCCAGAAACCAUAAUGGGCGGUGAAUAGGCGGCGCCAAUUUUUCGGGCUCAAAUUCAGCCGUUUUGACCCUCAAACGGGCUGCGGAAAGUUUUGGCACGCAAAAAAGAUCGAAAGCGGAUUCUCAGGGUGUUUUUGAUGCUUUCUGAACGCCAUUAACCUCGACGCACUUUUUCGCUCGAAACAAAUUGGCAAGAAAAUCAUGUGGGUCCCACGGCCUCACAGGCUGCGAAAAGGAUAUGUAGAAACGAGAGUGAUGUACUGACGGGUGCGAUCAUACCAGCACUAAUGCACCGGAUCCCAUCAGAACUCCGCAGUUAAGCGUGCUUGGGCGAGAGUAGUACUAGGAUGGGUGACCUCCCGGGAAGUCCUCGUGUUGCACCCCUUUUUAUUUUUUAAUUUUUUUUAAUGCAUCCUAAGACGAGUCUAAACUUGGAAACCUCAUAACUUUUGAACCGUGAGGAACUACGUCGCCCAUAGCACCAUUUCGGAAAGCCCCAGAAACCAUAAUGGGCGGUGAAUAGGCGGCGCCAAUUUUUCGGGCUCAAAUUCAGCCGUUUUGACCCUCAAACGGGCUGCGGAAAGUUUUGGCACGCAAAAAAGAUCGAAAGCGGAUUCUCAGGGUGUUUUUGAUGCUUUCUGAACGCCAUUAACCUCGACGCACUUUUUCGCUCGAAACAAAUUGGCAAGAAAAUCAUGUGGGUCCCACGGCCUCACAGGCUGCGAAAAGGAUAUGUAGAAACGAGAGUGAUGUACUGACGGGUGCGAUCAUACCAGCACUAAUGCACCGGAUCCCAUCAGAACUCCGCAGUUAAGCGUGCUUGGGCGAGAGUAGUACUAGGAUGGGUGACCUCCCGGGAAGUCCUCGUGUUGCACCCCUUUUUAUUUUUUAAUUUUUUUUAAUGCAUCCUAAGACGAGUCUAAACUUGGAAACCUCAUAACUUUUGAACCGUGAGGAACUACGUCGCCCAUAGCACCAUUUCGGAAAGCCCCAGAAACCAUAAUGGGCGGUGAAUAGGCGGCGCCAAUUUUUCGGGCUCAAAUUCAGCCGUUUUGACCCUCAAACGGGCUGCGGAAAGUUUUGGCACGCAAAAAAGAUCGAAAGCGGAUUCUCAGGGUGUUUUUGAUGCUUUCUGAACGCCAUUAACCUCGACGCACUUUUUCGCUCGAAACAAAUUGGCAAGAAAAUCAUGUGGGUCCCACGGCCUCACAGGCUGCGAAAAGGAUAUGUAGAAACGAGAGUGAUGUACUGACGGGUGCGAUCAUACCAGCACUAAUGCACCGGAUCCCAUCAGAACUCCGCAGUUAAGCGUGCUUGGGCGAGAGUAGUACUAGGAUGGGUGACCUCCCGGGAAGUCCUCGUGUUGCACCCCUUUUUAUUUUUUAAUUUUUUUUAAUGCAUCCUAAGACGAGUCUAAACUUGGAAACCUCAUAACUUUUGAACCGUGAGGAACUACGUCGCCCAUAGCACCAUUUCGGAAAGCCCCAGAAACCAUAAUGGGCGGUGAAUAGGCGGCGCCAAUUUUUCGGGCUCAAAUUCAGCCGUUUUGACCCUCAAACGGGCUGCGGAAAGUUUUGGCACGCAAAAAAGAUCGAAAGCGGAUUCUCAGGGUGUUUUUGAUGCUUUCUGAACGCCAUUAACCUCGACGCACUUUUUCGCUCGAAACAAAUUGGCAAGAAAAUCAUGUGGGUCCCACGGCCUCACAGGCUGCGAAAAGGAUAUGUAGAAACGAGAGUGAUGUACUGACGGGUGCGAUCAUACCAGCACUAAUGCACCGGAUCCCAUCAGAACUCCGCAGUUAAGCGUGCUUGGGCGAGAGUAGUACUAGGAUGGGUGACCUCCCGGGAAGUCCUCGUGUUGCACCCCUUUUUAUUUUUUAAUUUUUUUUAAUGCAUCCUAAGACGAGUCUAAACUUGGAAACCUCAUAACUUUUGAACCGUGAGGAACUACGUCGCCCAUAGCACCAUUUCGGAAAGCCCCAGAAACCAUAAUGGGCGGUGAAUAGGCGGCGCCAAUUUUUCGGGCUCAAAUUCAGCCGUUUUGACCCUCAAACGGGCUGCGGAAAGUUUUGGCACGCAAAAAAGAUCGAAAGCGGAUUCUCAGGGUGUUUUUGAUGCUUUCUGAACGCCAUUAACCUCGACGCACUUUUUCGCUCGAAACAAAUUGGCAAGAAAAUCAUGUGGGUCCCACGGCCUCACAGGCUGCGAAAAGGAUAUGUAGAAACGAGAGUGAUGUACUGACGGGUGCGAUCAUACCAGCACUAAUGCACCGGAUCCCAUCAGAACUCCGCAGUUAAGCGUGCUUGGGCGAGAGUAGUACUAGGAUGGGUGACCUCCCGGGAAGUCCUCGUGUUGCACCCCUUUUUAUUUUUUAAUUUUUUUUAAUGCAUCCUAAGACGAGUCUAAACUUGGAAACCUCAUAACUUUUGAACCGUGAGGAACUACGUCGCCCAUAGCACCAUUUCGGAAAGCCCCAGAAACCAUAAUGGGCGGUGAAUAGGCGGCGCCAAUUUUUCGGGCUCAAAUUCAGCCGUUUUGACCCUCAAACGGGCUGCGGAAAGUUUUGGCACGCAAAAAAGAUCGAAAGCGGAUUCUCAGGGUGUUUUUGAUGCUUUCUGAACGCCAUUAACCUCGACGCACUUUUUCGCUCGAAACAAAUUGGCAAGAAAAUCAUGUGGGUCCCACGGCCUCACAGGCUGCGAAAAGGAUAUGUAGAAACGAGAGUGAUGUACUGACGGGUGCGAUCAUACCAGCACUAAUGCACCGGAUCCCAUCAGAACUCCGCAGUUAAGCGUGCUUGGGCGAGAGUAGUACUAGGAUGGGUGACCUCCCGGGAAGUCCUCGUGUUGCACCCCUUUUUAUUUUUUAAUUUUUUUUAAUGCAUCCUAAGACGAGUCUAAACUUGGAAACCUCAUAACUUUUGAACCGUGAGGAACUACGUCGCCCAUAGCACCAUUUCGGAAAGCCCCAGAAACCAUAAUGGGCGGUGAAUAGGCGGCGCCAAUUUUUCGGGCUCAAAUUCAGCCGUUUUGACCCUCAAACGGGCUGCGGAAAGUUUUGGCACGCAAAAAAGAUCGAAAGCGGAUUCUCAGGGUGUUUUUGAUGCUUUCUGAACGCCAUUAACCUCGACGCACUUUUUCGCUCGAAACAAAUUGGCAAGAAAAUCAUGUGGGUCCCACGGCCUCACAGGCUGCGAAAAGGAUAUGUAGAAACGAGAGUGAUGUACUGACGGGUGCGAUCAUACCAGCACUAAUGCACCGGAUCCCAUCAGAACUCCGCAGUUAAGCGUGCUUGGGCGAGAGUAGUACUAGGAUGGGUGACCUCCCGGGAAGUCCUCGUGUUGCACCCCUUUUUAUUUUUUAAUUUUUUUUAAUGCAUCCUAAGACGAGUCUAAACUUGGAAACCUCAUAACUUUUGAACCGUGAGGAACUACGUCGCCCAUAGCACCAUUUCGGAAAGCCCCAGAAACCAUAAUGGGCGGUGAAUAGGCGGCGCCAAUUUUUCGGGCUCAAAUUCAGCCGUUUUGACCCUCAAACGGGCUGCGGAAAGUUUUGGCACGCAAAAAAGAUCGAAAGCGGAUUCUCAGGGUGUUUUUGAUGCUUUCUGAACGCCAUUAACCUCGACGCACUUUUUCGCUCGAAACAAAUUGGCAAGAAAAUCAUGUGGGUCCCACGGCCUCACAGGCUGCGAAAAGGAUAUGUAGAAACGAGAGUGAUGUACUGACGGGUGCGAUCAUACCAGCACUAAUGCACCGGAUCCCAUCAGAACUCCGCAGUUAAGCGUGCUUGGGCGAGAGUAGUACUAGGAUGGGUGACCUCCCGGGAAGUCCUCGUGUUGCACCCCUUUUUAUUUUUUAAUUUUUUUUAAUGCAUCCUAAGACGAGUCUAAACUUGGAAACCUCAUAACUUUUGAACCGUGAGGAACUACGUCGCCCAUAGCACCAUUUCGGAAAGCCCCAGAAACCAUAAUGGGCGGUGAAUAGGCGGCGCCAAUUUUUCGGGCUCAAAUUCAGCCGUUUUGACCCUCAAACGGGCUGCGGAAAGUUUUGGCACGCAAAAAAGAUCGAAAGCGGAUUCUCAGGGUGUUUUUGAUGCUUUCUGAACGCCAUUAACCUCGACGCACUUUUUCGCUCGAAACAAAUUGGCAAGAAAAUCAUGUGGGUCCCACGGCCUCACAGGCUGCGAAAAGGAUAUGUAGAAACGAGAGUGAUGUACUGACGGGUGCGAUCAUACCAGCACUAAUGCACCGGAUCCCAUCAGAACUCCGCAGUUAAGCGUGCUUGGGCGAGAGUAGUACUAGGAUGGGUGACCUCCCGGGAAGUCCUCGUGUUGCACCCCUUUUUAUUUUUUAAUUUUUUUUAAUGCAUCCUAAGACGAGUCUAAACUUGGAAACCUCAUAACUUUUGAACCGUGAGGAACUACGUCGCCCAUAGCACCAUUUCGGAAAGCCCCAGAAACCAUAAUGGGCGGUGAAUAGGCGGCGCCAAUUUUUCGGGCUCAAAUUCAGCCGUUUUGACCCUCAAACGGGCUGCGGAAAGUUUUGGCACGCAAAAAAGAUCGAAAGCGGAUUCUCAGGGUGUUUUUGAUGCUUUCUGAACGCCAUUAACCUCGACGCACUUUUUCGCUCGAAACAAAUUGGCAAGAAAAUCAUGUGGGUCCCACGGCCUCACAGGCUGCGAAAAGGAUAUGUAGAAACGAGAGUGAUGUACUGACGGGUGCGAUCAUACCAGCACUAAUGCACCGGAUCCCAUCAGAACUCCGCAGUUAAGCGUGCUUGGGCGAGAGUAGUACUAGGAUGGGUGACCUCCCGGGAAGUCCUCGUGUUGCACCCCUUUUUAUUUUUUAAUUUUUUUUAAUGCAUCCUAAGACGAGUCUAAACUUGGAAACCUCAUAACUUUUGAACCGUGAGGAACUACGUCGCCCAUAGCACCAUUUCGGAAAGCCCCAGAAACCAUAAUGGGCGGUGAAUAGGCGGCGCCAAUUUUUCGGGCUCAAAUUCAGCCGUUUUGACCCUCAAACGGGCUGCGGAAAGUUUUGGCACGCAAAAAAGAUCGAAAGCGGAUUCUCAGGGUGUUUUUGAUGCUUUCUGAACGCCAUUAACCUCGACGCACUUUUUCGCUCGAAACAAAUUGGCAAGAAAAUCAUGUGGGUCCCACGGCCUCACAGGCUGCGAAAAGGAUAUGUAGAAACGAGAGUGAUGUACUGACGGGUGCGAUCAUACCAGCACUAAUGCACCGGAUCCCAUCAGAACUCCGCAGUUAAGCGUGCUUGGGCGAGAGUAGUACUAGGAUGGGUGACCUCCCGGGAAGUCCUCGUGUUGCACCCCUUUUUAUUUUUUAAUUUUUUUUAAUGCAUCCUAAGACGAGUCUAAACUUGGAAACCUCAUAACUUUUGAACCGUGAGGAACUACGUCGCCCAUAGCACCAUUUCGGAAAGCCCCAGAAACCAUAAUGGGCGGUGAAUAGGCGGCGCCAAUUUUUCGGGCUCAAAUUCAGCCGUUUUGACCCUCAAACGGGCUGCGGAAAGUUUUGGCACGCAAAAAAGAUCGAAAGCGGAUUCUCAGGGUGUUUUUGAUGCUUUCUGAACGCCAUUAACCUCGACGCACUUUUUCGCUCGAAACAAAUUGGCAAGAAAAUCAUGUGGGUCCCACGGCCUCACAGGCUGCGAAAAGGAUAUGUAGAAACGAGAGUGAUGUACUGACGGGUGCGAUCAUACCAGCACUAAUGCACCGGAUCCCAUCAGAACUCCGCAGUUAAGCGUGCUUGGGCGAGAGUAGUACUAGGAUGGGUGACCUCCCGGGAAGUCCUCGUGUUGCACCCCUUUUUAUUUUUUAAUUUUUUUUAAUGCAUCCUAAGACGAGUCUAAACUUGGAAACCUCAUAACUUUUGAACCGUGAGGAACUACGUCGCCCAUAGCACCAUUUCGGAAAGCCCCAGAAACCAUAAUGGGCGGUGAAUAGGCGGCGCCAAUUUUUCGGGCUCAAAUUCAGCCGUUUUGACCCUCAAACGGGCUGCGGAAAGUUUUGGCACGCAAAAAAGAUCGAAAGCGGAUUCUCAGGGUGUUUUUGAUGCUUUCUGAACGCCAUUAACCUCGACGCACUUUUUCGCUCGAAACAAAUUGGCAAGAAAAUCAUGUGGGUCCCACGGCCUCACAGGCUGCGAAAAGGAUAUGUAGAAACGAGAGUGAUGUACUGACGGGUGCGAUCAUACCAGCACUAAUGCACCGGAUCCCAUCAGAACUCCGCAGUUAAGCGUGCUUGGGCGAGAGUAGUACUAGGAUGGGUGACCUCCCGGGAAGUCCUCGUGUUGCACCCCUUUUUAUUUUUUAAUUUUUUUUAAUGCAUCCUAAGACGAGUCUAAACUUGGAAACCUCAUAACUUUUGAACCGUGAGGAACUACGUCGCCCAUAGCACCAUUUCGGAAAGCCCCAGAAACCAUAAUGGGCGGUGAAUAGGCGGCGCCAAUUUUUCGGGCUCAAAUUCAGCCGUUUUGACCCUCAAACGGGCUGCGGAAAGUUUUGGCACGCAAAAAAGAUCGAAAGCGGAUUCUCAGGGUGUUUUUGAUGCUUUCUGAACGCCAUUAACCUCGACGCACUUUUUCGCUCGAAACAAAUUGGCAAGAAAAUCAUGUGGGUCCCACGGCCUCACAGGCUGCGAAAAGGAUAUGUAGAAACGAGAGUGAUGUACUGACGGGUGCGAUCAUACCAGCACUAAUGCACCGGAUCCCAUCAGAACUCCGCAGUUAAGCGUGCUUGGGCGAGAGUAGUACUAGGAUGGGUGACCUCCCGGGAAGUCCUCGUGUUGCACCCCUUUUUAUUUUUUAAUUUUUUUUAAUGCAUCCUAAGACGAGUCUAAACUUGGAAACCUCAUAACUUUUGAACCGUGAGGAACUACGUCGCCCAUAGCACCAUUUCGGAAAGCCCCAGAAACCAUAAUGGGCGGUGAAUAGGCGGCGCCAAUUUUUCGGGCUCAAAUUCAGCCGUUUUGACCCUCAAACGGGCUGCGGAAAGUUUUGGCACGCAAAAAAGAUCGAAAGCGGAUUCUCAGGGUGUUUUUGAUGCUUUCUGAACGCCAUUAACCUCGACGCACUUUUUCGCUCGAAACAAAUUGGCAAGAAAAUCAUGUGGGUCCCACGGCCUCACAGGCUGCGAAAAGGAUAUGUAGAAACGAGAGUGAUGUACUGACGGGUGCGAUCAUACCAGCACUAAUGCACCGGAUCCCAUCAGAACUCCGCAGUUAAGCGUGCUUGGGCGAGAGUAGUACUAGGAUGGGUGACCUCCCGGGAAGUCCUCGUGUUGCACCCCUUUUUAUUUUUUAAUUUUUUUUAAUGCAUCCUAAGACGAGUCUAAACUUGGAAACCUCAUAACUUUUGAACCGUGAGGAACUACGUCGCCCAUAGCACCAUUUCGGAAAGCCCCAGAAACCAUAAUGGGCGGUGAAUAGGCGGCGCCAAUUUUUCGGGCUCAAAUUCAGCCGUUUUGACCCUCAAACGGGCUGCGGAAAGUUUUGGCACGCAAAAAAGAUCGAAAGCGGAUUCUCAGGGUGUUUUUGAUGCUUUCUGAACGCCAUUAACCUCGACGCACUUUUUCGCUCGAAACAAAUUGGCAAGAAAAUCAUGUGGGUCCCACGGCCUCACAGGCUGCGAAAAGGAUAUGUAGAAACGAGAGUGAUGUACUGACGGGUGCGAUCAUACCAGCACUAAUGCACCGGAUCCCAUCAGAACUCCGCAGUUAAGCGUGCUUGGGCGAGAGUAGUACUAGGAUGGGUGACCUCCCGGGAAGUCCUCGUGUUGCACCCCUUUUUAUUUUUUAAUUUUUUUUAAUGCAUCCUAAGACGAGUCUAAACUUGGAAACCUCAUAACUUUUGAACCGUGAGGAACUACGUCGCCCAUAGCACCAUUUCGGAAAGCCCCAGAAACCAUAAUGGGCGGUGAAUAGGCGGCGCCAAUUUUUCGGGCUCAAAUUCAGCCGUUUUGACCCUCAAACGGGCUGCGGAAAGUUUUGGCACGCAAAAAAGAUCGAAAGCGGAUUCUCAGGGUGUUUUUGAUGCUUUCUGAACGCCAUUAACCUCGACGCACUUUUUCGCUCGAAACAAAUUGGCAAGAAAAUCAUGUGGGUCCCACGGCCUCACAGGCUGCGAAAAGGAUAUGUAGAAACGAGAGUGAUGUACUGACGGGUGCGAUCAUACCAGCACUAAUGCACCGGAUCCCAUCAGAACUCCGCAGUUAAGCGUGCUUGGGCGAGAGUAGUACUAGGAUGGGUGACCUCCCGGGAAGUCCUCGUGUUGCACCCCUUUUUAUUUUUUAAUUUUUUUUAAUGCAUCCUAAGACGAGUCUAAACUUGGAAACCUCAUAACUUUUGAACCGUGAGGAACUACGUCGCCCAUAGCACCAUUUCGGAAAGCCCCAGAAACCAUAAUGGGCGGUGAAUAGGCGGCGCCAAUUUUUCGGGCUCAAAUUCAGCCGUUUUGACCCUCAAACGGGCUGCGGAAAGUUUUGGCACGCAAAAAAGAUCGAAAGCGGAUUCUCAGGGUGUUUUUGAUGCUUUCUGAACGCCAUUAACCUCGACGCACUUUUUCGCUCGAAACAAAUUGGCAAGAAAAUCAUGUGGGUCCCACGGCCUCACAGGCUGCGAAAAGGAUAUGUAGAAACGAGAGUGAUGUACUGACGGGUGCGAUCAUACCAGCACUAAUGCACCGGAUCCCAUCAGAACUCCGCAGUUAAGCGUGCUUGGGCGAGAGUAGUACUAGGAUGGGUGACCUCCCGGGAAGUCCUCGUGUUGCACCCCUUUUUAUUUUUUAAUUUUUUUUAAUGCAUCCUAAGACGAGUCUAAACUUGGAAACCUCAUAACUUUUGAACCGUGAGGAACUACGUCGCCCAUAGCACCAUUUCGGAAAGCCCCAGAAACCAUAAUGGGCGGUGAAUAGGCGGCGCCAAUUUUUCGGGCUCAAAUUCAGCCGUUUUGACCCUCAAACGGGCUGCGGAAAGUUUUGGCACGCAAAAAAGAUCGAAAGCGGAUUCUCAGGGUGUUUUUGAUGCUUUCUGAACGCCAUUAACCUCGACGCACUUUUUCGCUCGAAACAAAUUGGCAAGAAAAUCAUGUGGGUCCCACGGCCUCACAGGCUGCGAAAAGGAUAUGUAGAAACGAGAGUGAUGUACUGACGGGUGCGAUCAUACCAGCACUAAUGCACCGGAUCCCAUCAGAACUCCGCAGUUAAGCGUGCUUGGGCGAGAGUAGUACUAGGAUGGGUGACCUCCCGGGAAGUCCUCGUGUUGCACCCCUUUUUAUUUUUUAAUUUUUUUUAAUGCAUCCUAAGACGAGUCUAAACUUGGAAACCUCAUAACUUUUGAACCGUGAGGAACUACGUCGCCCAUAGCACCAUUUCGGAAAGCCCCAGAAACCAUAAUGGGCGGUGAAUAGGCGGCGCCAAUUUUUCGGGCUCAAAUUCAGCCGUUUUGACCCUCAAACGGGCUGCGGAAAGUUUUGGCACGCAAAAAAGAUCGAAAGCGGAUUCUCAGGGUGUUUUUGAUGCUUUCUGAACGCCAUUAACCUCGACGCACUUUUUCGCUCGAAACAAAUUGGCAAGAAAAUCAUGUGGGUCCCACGGCCUCACAGGCUGCGAAAAGGAUAUGUAGAAACGAGAGUGAUGUACUGACGGGUGCGAUCAUACCAGCACUAAUGCACCGGAUCCCAUCAGAACUCCGCAGUUAAGCGUGCUUGGGCGAGAGUAGUACUAGGAUGGGUGACCUCCCGGGAAGUCCUCGUGUUGCACCCCUUUUUAUUUUUUAAUUUUUUUUAAUGCAUCCUAAGACGAGUCUAAACUUGGAAACCUCAUAACUUUUGAACCGUGAGGAACUACGUCGCCCAUAGCACCAUUUCGGAAAGCCCCAGAAACCAUAAUGGGCGGUGAAUAGGCGGCGCCAAUUUUUCGGGCUCAAAUUCAGCCGUUUUGACCCUCAAACGGGCUGCGGAAAGUUUUGGCACGCAAAAAAGAUCGAAAGCGGAUUCUCAGGGUGUUUUUGAUGCUUUCUGAACGCCAUUAACCUCGACGCACUUUUUCGCUCGAAACAAAUUGGCAAGAAAAUCAUGUGGGUCCCACGGCCUCACAGGCUGCGAAAAGGAUAUGUAGAAACGAGAGUGAUGUACUGACGGGUGCGAUCAUACCAGCACUAAUGCACCGGAUCCCAUCAGAACUCCGCAGUUAAGCGUGCUUGGGCGAGAGUAGUACUAGGAUGGGUGACCUCCCGGGAAGUCCUCGUGUUGCACCCCUUUUUAUUUUUUAAUUUUUUUUAAUGCAUCCUAAGACGAGUCUAAACUUGGAAACCUCAUAACUUUUGAACCGUGAGGAACUACGUCGCCCAUAGCACCAUUUCGGAAAGCCCCAGAAACCAUAAUGGGCGGUGAAUAGGCGGCGCCAAUUUUUCGGGCUCAAAUUCAGCCGUUUUGACCCUCAAACGGGCUGCGGAAAGUUUUGGCACGCAAAAAAGAUCGAAAGCGGAUUCUCAGGGUGUUUUUGAUGCUUUCUGAACGCCAUUAACCUCGACGCACUUUUUCGCUCGAAACAAAUUGGCAAGAAAAUCAUGUGGGUCCCACGGCCUCACAGGCUGCGAAAAGGAUAUGUAGAAACGAGAGUGAUGUACUGACGGGUGCGAUCAUACCAGCACUAAUGCACCGGAUCCCAUCAGAACUCCGCAGUUAAGCGUGCUUGGGCGAGAGUAGUACUAGGAUGGGUGACCUCCCGGGAAGUCCUCGUGUUGCACCCCUUUUUAUUUUUUAAUUUUUUUUAAUGCAUCCUAAGACGAGUCUAAACUUGGAAACCUCAUAACUUUUGAACCGUGAGGAACUACGUCGCCCAUAGCACCAUUUCGGAAAGCCCCAGAAACCAUAAUGGGCGGUGAAUAGGCGGCGCCAAUUUUUCGGGCUCAAAUUCAGCCGUUUUGACCCUCAAACGGGCUGCGGAAAGUUUUGGCACGCAAAAAAGAUCGAAAGCGGAUUCUCAGGGUGUUUUUGAUGCUUUCUGAACGCCAUUAACCUCGACGCACUUUUUCGCUCGAAACAAAUUGGCAAGAAAAUCAUGUGGGUCCCACGGCCUCACAGGCUGCGAAAAGGAUAUGUAGAAACGAGAGUGAUGUACUGACGGGUGCGAUCAUACCAGCACUAAUGCACCGGAUCCCAUCAGAACUCCGCAGUUAAGCGUGCUUGGGCGAGAGUAGUACUAGGAUGGGUGACCUCCCGGGAAGUCCUCGUGUUGCACCCCUUUUUAUUUUUUAAUUUUUUUUAAUGCAUCCUAAGACGAGUCUAAACUUGGAAACCUCAUAACUUUUGAACCGUGAGGAACUACGUCGCCCAUAGCACCAUUUCGGAAAGCCCCAGAAACCAUAAUGGGCGGUGAAUAGGCGGCGCCAAUUUUUCGGGCUCAAAUUCAGCCGUUUUGACCCUCAAACGGGCUGCGGAAAGUUUUGGCACGCAAAAAAGAUCGAAAGCGGAUUCUCAGGGUGUUUUUGAUGCUUUCUGAACGCCAUUAACCUCGACGCACUUUUUCGCUCGAAACAAAUUGGCAAGAAAAUCAUGUGGGUCCCACGGCCUCACAGGCUGCGAAAAGGAUAUGUAGAAACGAGAGUGAUGUACUGACGGGUGCGAUCAUACCAGCACUAAUGCACCGGAUCCCAUCAGAACUCCGCAGUUAAGCGUGCUUGGGCGAGAGUAGUACUAGGAUGGGUGACCUCCCGGGAAGUCCUCGUGUUGCACCCCUUUUUAUUUUUUAAUUUUUUUUAAUGCAUCCUAAGACGAGUCUAAACUUGGAAACCUCAUAACUUUUGAACCGUGAGGAACUACGUCGCCCAUAGCACCAUUUCGGAAAGCCCCAGAAACCAUAAUGGGCGGUGAAUAGGCGGCGCCAAUUUUUCGGGCUCAAAUUCAGCCGUUUUGACCCUCAAACGGGCUGCGGAAAGUUUUGGCACGCAAAAAAGAUCGAAAGCGGAUUCUCAGGGUGUUUUUGAUGCUUUCUGAACGCCAUUAACCUCGACGCACUUUUUCGCUCGAAACAAAUUGGCAAGAAAAUCAUGUGGGUCCCACGGCCUCACAGGCUGCGAAAAGGAUAUGUAGAAACGAGAGUGAUGUACUGACGGGUGCGAUCAUACCAGCACUAAUGCACCGGAUCCCAUCAGAACUCCGCAGUUAAGCGUGCUUGGGCGAGAGUAGUACUAGGAUGGGUGACCUCCCGGGAAGUCCUCGUGUUGCACCCCUUUUUAUUUUUUAAUUUUUUUUAAUGCAUCCUAAGACGAGUCUAAACUUGGAAACCUCAUAACUUUUGAACCGUGAGGAACUACGUCGCCCAUAGCACCAUUUCGGAAAGCCCCAGAAACCAUAAUGGGCGGUGAAUAGGCGGCGCCAAUUUUUCGGGCUCAAAUUCAGCCGUUUUGACCCUCAAACGGGCUGCGGAAAGUUUUGGCACGCAAAAAAGAUCGAAAGCGGAUUCUCAGGGUGUUUUUGAUGCUUUCUGAACGCCAUUAACCUCGACGCACUUUUUCGCUCGAAACAAAUUGGCAAGAAAAUCAUGUGGGUCCCACGGCCUCACAGGCUGCGAAAAGGAUAUGUAGAAACGAGAGUGAUGUACUGACGGGUGCGAUCAUACCAGCACUAAUGCACCGGAUCCCAUCAGAACUCCGCAGUUAAGCGUGCUUGGGCGAGAGUAGUACUAGGAUGGGUGACCUCCCGGGAAGUCCUCGUGUUGCACCCCUUUUUAUUUUUUAAUUUUUUUUAAUGCAUCCUAAGACGAGUCUAAACUUGGAAACCUCAUAACUUUUGAACCGUGAGGAACUACGUCGCCCAUAGCACCAUUUCGGAAAGCCCCAGAAACCAUAAUGGGCGGUGAAUAGGCGGCGCCAAUUUUUCGGGCUCAAAUUCAGCCGUUUUGACCCUCAAACGGGCUGCGGAAAGUUUUGGCACGCAAAAAAGAUCGAAAGCGGAUUCUCAGGGUGUUUUUGAUGCUUUCUGAACGCCAUUAACCUCGACGCACUUUUUCGCUCGAAACAAAUUGGCAAGAAAAUCAUGUGGGUCCCACGGCCUCACAGGCUGCGAAAAGGAUAUGUAGAAACGAGAGUGAUGUACUGACGGGUGCGAUCAUACCAGCACUAAUGCACCGGAUCCCAUCAGAACUCCGCAGUUAAGCGUGCUUGGGCGAGAGUAGUACUAGGAUGGGUGACCUCCCGGGAAGUCCUCGUGUUGCACCCCUUUUUAUUUUUUAAUUUUUUUUAAUGCAUCCUAAGACGAGUCUAAACUUGGAAACCUCAUAACUUUUGAACCGUGAGGAACUACGUCGCCCAUAGCACCAUUUCGGAAAGCCCCAGAAACCAUAAUGGGCGGUGAAUAGGCGGCGCCAAUUUUUCGGGCUCAAAUUCAGCCGUUUUGACCCUCAAACGGGCUGCGGAAAGUUUUGGCACGCAAAAAAGAUCGAAAGCGGAUUCUCAGGGUGUUUUUGAUGCUUUCUGAACGCCAUUAACCUCGACGCACUUUUUCGCUCGAAACAAAUUGGCAAGAAAAUCAUGUGGGUCCCACGGCCUCACAGGCUGCGAAAAGGAUAUGUAGAAACGAGAGUGAUGUACUGACGGGUGCGAUCAUACCAGCACUAAUGCACCGGAUCCCAUCAGAACUCCGCAGUUAAGCGUGCUUGGGCGAGAGUAGUACUAGGAUGGGUGACCUCCCGGGAAGUCCUCGUGUUGCACCCCUUUUUAUUUUUUAAUUUUUUUUAAUGCAUCCUAAGACGAGUCUAAACUUGGAAACCUCAUAACUUUUGAACCGUGAGGAACUACGUCGCCCAUAGCACCAUUUCGGAAAGCCCCAGAAACCAUAAUGGGCGGUGAAUAGGCGGCGCCAAUUUUUCGGGCUCAAAUUCAGCCGUUUUGACCCUCAAACGGGCUGCGGAAAGUUUUGGCACGCAAAAAAGAUCGAAAGCGGAUUCUCAGGGUGUUUUUGAUGCUUUCUGAACGCCAUUAACCUCGACGCACUUUUUCGCUCGAAACAAAUUGGCAAGAAAAUCAUGUGGGUCCCACGGCCUCACAGGCUGCGAAAAGGAUAUGUAGAAACGAGAGUGAUGUACUGACGGGUGCGAUCAUACCAGCACUAAUGCACCGGAUCCCAUCAGAACUCCGCAGUUAAGCGUGCUUGGGCGAGAGUAGUACUAGGAUGGGUGACCUCCCGGGAAGUCCUCGUGUUGCACCCCUUUUUAUUUUUUAAUUUUUUUUAAUGCAUCCUAAGACGAGUCUAAACUUGGAAACCUCAUAACUUUUGAACCGUGAGGAACUACGUCGCCCAUAGCACCAUUUCGGAAAGCCCCAGAAACCAUAAUGGGCGGUGAAUAGGCGGCGCCAAUUUUUCGGGCUCAAAUUCAGCCGUUUUGACCCUCAAACGGGCUGCGGAAAGUUUUGGCACGCAAAAAAGAUCGAAAGCGGAUUCUCAGGGUGUUUUUGAUGCUUUCUGAACGCCAUUAACCUCGACGCACUUUUUCGCUCGAAACAAAUUGGCAAGAAAAUCAUGUGGGUCCCACGGCCUCACAGGCUGCGAAAAGGAUAUGUAGAAACGAGAGUGAUGUACUGACGGGUGCGAUCAUACCAGCACUAAUGCACCGGAUCCCAUCAGAACUCCGCAGUUAAGCGUGCUUGGGCGAGAGUAGUACUAGGAUGGGUGACCUCCCGGGAAGUCCUCGUGUUGCACCCCUUUUUAUUUUUUAAUUUUUUUUAAUGCAUCCUAAGACGAGUCUAAACUUGGAAACCUCAUAACUUUUGAACCGUGAGGAACUACGUCGCCCAUAGCACCAUUUCGGAAAGCCCCAGAAACCAUAAUGGGCGGUGAAUAGGCGGCGCCAAUUUUUCGGGCUCAAAUUCAGCCGUUUUGACCCUCAAACGGGCUGCGGAAAGUUUUGGCACGCAAAAAAGAUCGAAAGCGGAUUCUCAGGGUGUUUUUGAUGCUUUCUGAACGCCAUUAACCUCGACGCACUUUUUCGCUCGAAACAAAUUGGCAAGAAAAUCAUGUGGGUCCCACGGCCUCACAGGCUGCGAAAAGGAUAUGUAGAAACGAGAGUGAUGUACUGACGGGUGCGAUCAUACCAGCACUAAUGCACCGGAUCCCAUCAGAACUCCGCAGUUAAGCGUGCUUGGGCGAGAGUAGUACUAGGAUGGGUGACCUCCCGGGAAGUCCUCGUGUUGCACCCCUUUUUAUUUUUUAAUUUUUUUUAAUGCAUCCUAAGACGAGUCUAAACUUGGAAACCUCAUAACUUUUGAACCGUGAGGAACUACGUCGCCCAUAGCACCAUUUCGGAAAGCCCCAGAAACCAUAAUGGGCGGUGAAUAGGCGGCGCCAAUUUUUCGGGCUCAAAUUCAGCCGUUUUGACCCUCAAACGGGCUGCGGAAAGUUUUGGCACGCAAAAAAGAUCGAAAGCGGAUUCUCAGGGUGUUUUUGAUGCUUUCUGAACGCCAUUAACCUCGACGCACUUUUUCGCUCGAAACAAAUUGGCAAGAAAAUCAUGUGGGUCCCACGGCCUCACAGGCUGCGAAAAGGAUAUGUAGAAACGAGAGUGAUGUACUGACGGGUGCGAUCAUACCAGCACUAAUGCACCGGAUCCCAUCAGAACUCCGCAGUUAAGCGUGCUUGGGCGAGAGUAGUACUAGGAUGGGUGACCUCCCGGGAAGUCCUCGUGUUGCACCCCUUUUUAUUUUUUAAUUUUUUUUAAUGCAUCCUAAGACGAGUCUAAACUUGGAAACCUCAUAACUUUUGAACCGUGAGGAACUACGUCGCCCAUAGCACCAUUUCGGAAAGCCCCAGAAACCAUAAUGGGCGGUGAAUAGGCGGCGCCAAUUUUUCGGGCUCAAAUUCAGCCGUUUUGACCCUCAAACGGGCUGCGGAAAGUUUUGGCACGCAAAAAAGAUCGAAAGCGGAUUCUCAGGGUGUUUUUGAUGCUUUCUGAACGCCAUUAACCUCGACGCACUUUUUCGCUCGAAACAAAUUGGCAAGAAAAUCAUGUGGGUCCCACGGCCUCACAGGCUGCGAAAAGGAUAUGUAGAAACGAGAGUGAUGUACUGACGGGUGCGAUCAUACCAGCACUAAUGCACCGGAUCCCAUCAGAACUCCGCAGUUAAGCGUGCUUGGGCGAGAGUAGUACUAGGAUGGGUGACCUCCCGGGAAGUCCUCGUGUUGCACCCCUUUUUAUUUUUUAAUUUUUUUUAAUGCAUCCUAAGACGAGUCUAAACUUGGAAACCUCAUAACUUUUGAACCGUGAGGAACUACGUCGCCCAUAGCACCAUUUCGGAAAGCCCCAGAAACCAUAAUGGGCGGUGAAUAGGCGGCGCCAAUUUUUCGGGCUCAAAUUCAGCCGUUUUGACCCUCAAACGGGCUGCGGAAAGUUUUGGCACGCAAAAAAGAUCGAAAGCGGAUUCUCAGGGUGUUUUUGAUGCUUUCUGAACGCCAUUAACCUCGACGCACUUUUUCGCUCGAAACAAAUUGGCAAGAAAAUCAUGUGGGUCCCACGGCCUCACAGGCUGCGAAAAGGAUAUGUAGAAACGAGAGUGAUGUACUGACGGGUGCGAUCAUACCAGCACUAAUGCACCGGAUCCCAUCAGAACUCCGCAGUUAAGCGUGCUUGGGCGAGAGUAGUACUAGGAUGGGUGACCUCCCGGGAAGUCCUCGUGUUGCACCCCUUUUUAUUUUUUAAUUUUUUUUAAUGCAUCCUAAGACGAGUCUAAACUUGGAAACCUCAUAACUUUUGAACCGUGAGGAACUACGUCGCCCAUAGCACCAUUUCGGAAAGCCCCAGAAACCAUAAUGGGCGGUGAAUAGGCGGCGCCAAUUUUUCGGGCUCAAAUUCAGCCGUUUUGACCCUCAAACGGGCUGCGGAAAGUUUUGGCACGCAAAAAAGAUCGAAAGCGGAUUCUCAGGGUGUUUUUGAUGCUUUCUGAACGCCAUUAACCUCGACGCACUUUUUCGCUCGAAACAAAUUGGCAAGAAAAUCAUGUGGGUCCCACGGCCUCACAGGCUGCGAAAAGGAUAUGUAGAAACGAGAGUGAUGUACUGACGGGUGCGAUCAUACCAGCACUAAUGCACCGGAUCCCAUCAGAACUCCGCAGUUAAGCGUGCUUGGGCGAGAGUAGUACUAGGAUGGGUGACCUCCCGGGAAGUCCUCGUGUUGCACCCCUUUUUAUUUUUUAAUUUUUUUUAAUGCAUCCUAAGACGAGUCUAAACUUGGAAACCUCAUAACUUUUGAACCGUGAGGAACUACGUCGCCCAUAGCACCAUUUCGGAAAGCCCCAGAAACCAUAAUGGGCGGUGAAUAGGCGGCGCCAAUUUUUCGGGCUCAAAUUCAGCCGUUUUGACCCUCAAACGGGCUGCGGAAAGUUUUGGCACGCAAAAAAGAUCGAAAGCGGAUUCUCAGGGUGUUUUUGAUGCUUUCUGAACGCCAUUAACCUCGACGCACUUUUUCGCUCGAAACAAAUUGGCAAGAAAAUCAUGUGGGUCCCACGGCCUCACAGGCUGCGAAAAGGAUAUGUAGAAACGAGAGUGAUGUACUGACGGGUGCGAUCAUACCAGCACUAAUGCACCGGAUCCCAUCAGAACUCCGCAGUUAAGCGUGCUUGGGCGAGAGUAGUACUAGGAUGGGUGACCUCCCGGGAAGUCCUCGUGUUGCACCCCUUUUUAUUUUUUAAUUUUUUUUAAUGCAUCCUAAGACGAGUCUAAACUUGGAAACCUCAUAACUUUUGAACCGUGAGGAACUACGUCGCCCAUAGCACCAUUUCGGAAAGCCCCAGAAACCAUAAUGGGCGGUGAAUAGGCGGCGCCAAUUUUUCGGGCUCAAAUUCAGCCGUUUUGACCCUCAAACGGGCUGCGGAAAGUUUUGGCACGCAAAAAAGAUCGAAAGCGGAUUCUCAGGGUGUUUUUGAUGCUUUCUGAACGCCAUUAACCUCGACGCACUUUUUCGCUCGAAACAAAUUGGCAAGAAAAUCAUGUGGGUCCCACGGCCUCACAGGCUGCGAAAAGGAUAUGUAGAAACGAGAGUGAUGUACUGACGGGUGCGAUCAUACCAGCACUAAUGCACCGGAUCCCAUCAGAACUCCGCAGUUAAGCGUGCUUGGGCGAGAGUAGUACUAGGAUGGGUGACCUCCCGGGAAGUCCUCGUGUUGCACCCCUUUUUAUUUUUUAAUUUUUUUUAAUGCAUCCUAAGACGAGUCUAAACUUGGAAACCUCAUAACUUUUGAACCGUGAGGAACUACGUCGCCCAUAGCACCAUUUCGGAAAGCCCCAGAAACCAUAAUGGGCGGUGAAUAGGCGGCGCCAAUUUUUCGGGCUCAAAUUCAGCCGUUUUGACCCUCAAACGGGCUGCGGAAAGUUUUGGCACGCAAAAAAGAUCGAAAGCGGAUUCUCAGGGUGUUUUUGAUGCUUUCUGAACGCCAUUAACCUCGACGCACUUUUUCGCUCGAAACAAAUUGGCAAGAAAAUCAUGUGGGUCCCACGGCCUCACAGGCUGCGAAAAGGAUAUGUAGAAACGAGAGUGAUGUACUGACGGGUGCGAUCAUACCAGCACUAAUGCACCGGAUCCCAUCAGAACUCCGCAGUUAAGCGUGCUUGGGCGAGAGUAGUACUAGGAUGGGUGACCUCCCGGGAAGUCCUCGUGUUGCACCCCUUUUUAUUUUUUAAUUUUUUUUAAUGCAUCCUAAGACGAGUCUAAACUUGGAAACCUCAUAACUUUUGAACCGUGAGGAACUACGUCGCCCAUAGCACCAUUUCGGAAAGCCCCAGAAACCAUAAUGGGCGGUGAAUAGGCGGCGCCAAUUUUUCGGGCUCAAAUUCAGCCGUUUUGACCCUCAAACGGGCUGCGGAAAGUUUUGGCACGCAAAAAAGAUCGAAAGCGGAUUCUCAGGGUGUUUUUGAUGCUUUCUGAACGCCAUUAACCUCGACGCACUUUUUCGCUCGAAACAAAUUGGCAAGAAAAUCAUGUGGGUCCCACGGCCUCACAGGCUGCGAAAAGGAUAUGUAGAAACGAGAGUGAUGUACUGACGGGUGCGAUCAUACCAGCACUAAUGCACCGGAUCCCAUCAGAACUCCGCAGUUAAGCGUGCUUGGGCGAGAGUAGUACUAGGAUGGGUGACCUCCCGGGAAGUCCUCGUGUUGCACCCCUUUUUAUUUUUUAAUUUUUUUUAAUGCAUCCUAAGACGAGUCUAAACUUGGAAACCUCAUAACUUUUGAACCGUGAGGAACUACGUCGCCCAUAGCACCAUUUCGGAAAGCCCCAGAAACCAUAAUGGGCGGUGAAUAGGCGGCGCCAAUUUUUCGGGCUCAAAUUCAGCCGUUUUGACCCUCAAACGGGCUGCGGAAAGUUUUGGCACGCAAAAAAGAUCGAAAGCGGAUUCUCAGGGUGUUUUUGAUGCUUUCUGAACGCCAUUAACCUCGACGCACUUUUUCGCUCGAAACAAAUUGGCAAGAAAAUCAUGUGGGUCCCACGGCCUCACAGGUGCGAAAAGGAUAUGUAGAAACGAGAGUGAUGUACUGACGGGUGCGAUCAUACCAGCACUAAUGCACCGGAUCCCAUCAGAACUCCGCAGUUAAGCGUGCUUGGGCGAGAGUAGUACUAGGAUGGGUGACCUCCCGGGAAGUCCUCGUGUUGCACCCCUUUUUAUUUUUUAAUUUUUUUUAAUGCAUCCUAAGACGAGUCUAAACUUGGAAACCUCAUAACUUUUGAACCGUGAGGAACUACGUCGCCCAUAGCACCAUUUCGGAAAGCCCCAGAAACCAUAAUGGGCGGUGAAUAGGCGCGCGCCAAUUUUUCGGGCUCAAAUUCAGCCGUUUUGACCCUCAAACGGGCUGCGGAAAGUUUUGGCACGCAAAAAGAUCGAAAGCGGAUUCUCAGGGUGUUUUUGAUGCUUUCUGAACGCCAUUAACCUCGACGCACUUUUUCGCUCGAAACAAUUGGCAAGAAAAUCAUGUGGGUCCCACGGCCUCACAGGCUGCGAAAAGGAUAUGUAGAAACGAGAGUGAUGUACUGACGGGUGCGAUCAUACCAGCACUAAUGCACCGGAUCCCAUCAGAACUCCGCAGUUAAGCGUGCUUGGGCGAGAGUAGUACUAGGAUGGGUGACCUCCCGGGAAGUCCUCGUGUUGCACCCCUUUUUAUUUUUUAAUUUUUUUUAAUGCAUCCUAAGACGAGUCUAAACUUGGAAACCUCAUAACUUUUGAACCGUGAGGAACUACGUCGUCGCCAUAGCACCAUUUCGGAAAGCCCCAGAAACCAUAAUGGGCGGUGAAUAGGCGGCGCCAAUUUUUCGGGCUCAAAUUCAGCCGUUUUGACCCUCAAACGGGCUGCGGAAAGUUUUGGCACGCAAAAAAGAUCGAAAGCGGAUUCUCAGGGUGUUUUUGAUGCUUUCUGAACGCCAUUAACCUCGACGCACUUUUUCGCUCGAAACAAAUUGGCAAGAAAAUCAUGUGGGUCCCACGGCCUCACAGGCUGCGAAAAGGAUAUGUAGAAACGAGAGUGAUGUACUGACGGGUGCGAUCAUACCAGCACUAAUGCACCGGAUCCCAUCAGAACUCCGCAGUUAAGCGUGCUUGGGCGAGAGUAGUACUAGGAUGGGUGACCUCCCGGGAAGUCCUCGUGUUGCACCCCUUUUUAUUUUUUAAUUUUUUUAAUGCAUCCUAAGACGAGUCUAAACUUGGAAACCUCAUAACUUUUGAACCGUGAGGAACUACGUCGCCCAUAGCACCAUUUCGGAAAGCCCCAGAAACCAUAAUGGCGGUGAAUAGGCGGCGCCAAUUUUUCGGGCUCAAAUUCAGCCGUUUUGACCCUCAAACGGGCUGCGGCGGAAAAAAGAUGGGAAAAAACGUUUUUUGGUGUUACCAGAGGAAGGGUUUUUGUGUUAGUUUUUACAAAUGUUUUCACCUGAAUUGGCGUCACGUUUUGGCAACCCAAAAGAUCGAAAGCGGAUCUCAUUGGUGUUUUUAUGCUUUCUGACGCCAUUAACCUCGACCACUUUGUUCGCUCGAAACAAUUGGCAAGAAAUCAUUUGGGUCCAAGGCACGUGCCUCACAGGGUGCUGCGAAAGGAUAUGUAGAAACGAGAGUGAUGUACUGACGGGUGCGAUCAUACCAGCACUAAUGCACCGGAUCCCAUCAGAACUCCGCAGUUAAGCGUGCUUGGGCGAGAGUAGUACUAGGAUGGGUGACCUCCCGGGAAGUCCUCGUGUUGCACCCCUUUUUAUUUUUUAAUUUUUUUUAAUGCAUCCUAAGACGAGUCUAAACUUGGAAACCUCAUAACUUUUGAACCGUGAGGAACUACGUCGCCCAUAGCACCAUUUCGGAAGCCCCAGAAACCAUAAUGGGCGGUGAAUAGGCGGCGCCAAUUUUUCGGGCUCAAAUUCAGCCGUUUUGACCCUCAAACGGGCUGCGGAAAGUUUUGGCACGCAAAAAAGAUCGAAAGCGGAUUCUCAGGGUGUUUUUGAUGCUUUCUGAACGCCAUUAACCUCGACGCACUUUUUCGCUCGAAACAAAUUGGCAAGAAAAUCAUGUGGGUCCCACGGCCUCACAGGCUGCGAAAAGGAUAUGUAGAAACGAGAGUGAUGUACUGACGGGUGCGAUCAUACCAGCACUAAUGCACCGGAUCCCAUCAGAACUCCGCAGUUAAGCGUGCUUGGGCGAGAGUAGUACUAGGAUGGGUGACCUCCCGGGAAGUCCUCGUGUUGCACCCCUUUUUAUUUUUUAAUUUUUUUUAAUGCAUCCUAAGACGAGUCUAAACUUGGAAACCUCAUAACUUUUGAACCGUGAGGAACUACGUCGCCCAUAGCACCAUUUCGGAAAGCCCCAGAAACCAUAAUGGGCGGUGAAUAGGCGGCGCCAAUUUUUCGGGCUCAAAUUCACCCGUUUUGACCCUCAAACGGGCUGCGGAAAGUUUUGGCACGCAAAAAAGAUCGAAAGCGGAUUCUCAGGGUGUUUUUGAUGCUUUCUGAACGCCAUUAACCUCGACGCACUUUUUCGCUCGAAACAAAUUGGCAAGAAAAUCAUGUGGGUCCCACGGCCUCACAGGCUGCGAAAAGGAUAUGUAGAAACGAGAGUGAUGUACUGACGGGUGCGAUCAUACCAGCACUAAUGCACCGGAUCCCAUCAGAACUCCGCAGUUAAGCGUGCUUGGGCGAGAGUAGUACUAGGAUGGGUGACCUCCCGGGAAGUCCUCGUGUUGCACCCCUUUUUAUUUUUUAAUUUUUUUUAAUGCAUCCUAAGACGAGUCUAAACUUGGAAACCUCAUAACUUUUGAACCGUGAGGAACUACGUCGCCCAUAGCACCAUUUCGGAAAGCCCCAGAAACCAUAAUGGGCGGUGAAUAGGCGGCGCCAAUUUUUCGGGCUCAAAUUCAGCCGUUUUGACCCUCAAACGGGCUGCGGAAAGUUUUGGCACGCAAAAAAGAUCGAAAGCGGAUUCUCAGGGUGUUUUUGAUGCUUUCUGAACGCCAUUAACCUCGACGCACUUUUUCGCUCGAAACAAAUUGGCAAGAAAAUCAUGUGGGUCCCACGGCCUCACAGGCUGCGAAAAGGAUAUGUAGAAACGAGAGUGAUGUACUGACGGGUGCGAUCAUACCAGCACUAAUGCACCGGAUCCCAUCAGAACUCCGCAGUUAAGCGUGCUUGGGCGAGAGUAGUACUAGGAUGGGUGACCUCCCGGGAAGUCCUCGUGUUGCACCCCUUUUUAUUUUUUAAUUUUUUUUAAUGCAUCCUAAGACGAGUCUAAACUUGGAAACCUCAUAACUUUUGAACCGUGAGGAACUACGUCGCCCAUAGCACCAUUUCGGAAAGCCCCAGAAACCAUAAUGGGCGGUGAAUAGGCGGCGCCAAUUUUUCGGGCUCAAAUUCAGCCGUUUUGACCCUCAAACGGGCUGCGGAAAGUUUUGGCACGCAAAAAAGAUCGAAAGCGGAUUCUCAGGGUGUUUUUGAUGCUUUCUGAACGCCAUUAACCUCGACGCACUUUUUCGCUCGAAACAAAUUGGCAAGAAAAUCAUGUGGGUCCCACGGCCUCACAGGCUGCGAAAAGGAUAUGUAGAAACGAGAGUGAUGUACUGACGGGUGCGAUCAUACCAGCACUAAUGCACCGGAUCCCAUCAGAACUCCGCAGUUAAGCGUGCUUGGGCGAGAGUAGUACUAGGAUGGGUGACCUCCCGGGAGUCCUCGUGUUGCACCCCUUUUUAUUUUUAAAUUUUUUUUAAUGCAUCCUAAGACGAGUCUAAACUUGGAAACCUCAUAACUUUUGAACCGUGAGAACUACGUCUAAGACGAGUCUAAACUUGGAAACCUCAUAACUUUUGAACCGUGAGGAACUACGUCGCCCAUAGCACCAUUUCGGAAAGCCCCAGAAACCAUAAUGGGCGGUGAAUAGGCGGCGCCAAUUUUUCGGGCUCAAAUUCAGCCGUUUUGACCCUCAAACGGGCUGCGGAAAGUUUUGGCACGCAAAAAAAGAUCGAAAGCGGAUUCUCAGGGUGUUUUUGAUGCUUUCUGAACGCCAUUAACCUCGACGCACUUUUUCGCUCGAAACAAAUUGGCAAGAAAAUCAUGUGGGUCCCACGGCCUCACAGGCUGCGAAAAGGAUAUGUAGAAACGAGAGUGAUGUACUGACGGGUGCGAUCAUACCAGCACUAAUGCACCGGAUCCCAUCAGAACUCCGCAGUUAAGCGUGCUUGGGCGAGAGUAGUACUAGGAUGGGUGACCUCCCGGGAAGUCCUCGUGUUGCACCCCUUUUUAUUUUUUAAUUUUUUUUAAUGCAUCCUAAGACGAGUCUAAACUUGGAAACCUCAUAACUUUUGAACCGUGAGGAACUACGUCGCCCAUAGCACCAUUUCGGAAAGCCCCAGAAACCAUAAUGGGCGGUGAAUAGGCGGCGCCAAUUUUUCGGGCUCAAAUUCAGCCGUUUUGACCCUCAAACGGGCUGCGGAAAGUUUUGGCACGCAAAAAAGAUCGAAAGCGGAUUCUCAGGGUGUUUUUGAUGCUUUCUGAACGCCAUUAACCUCGACGCACUUUUUCGCUCGAAACAAAUUGGCAAGAAAAUCAUGUGGGUCCCACGGCCUCACAGGCUGCGAAAAGGAUAUGUAGAAACGAGAGUGAUGUACUGACGGGUGCGAUCAUACCAGCACUAAUGCACCGGAUCCCAUCAGAACUCCGCAGUUAAGCGUGCUUGGGCGAGAGUAGUACUAGGAUGGGUGACCUCCCGGGAAGUCCUCGUGUUGCACCCCUUUUUAUUUUUUAAUUUUUUUUAAUGCAUCCUAAGACGAGUCUAAACUUGGAAACCUCAUAACUUUUGAACCGUGAGGAACUACGUCGCCCAUAGCACCAUUUCGGAAAGCCCCAGAAACCAUAAUGGGCGGUGAAUAGGCGGCGCCAAUUUUUCGGGCUCAAAUUCAGCCGUUUUGACCCUCAAACGGGCUGCGGAAAGUUUUGGCACGCAAAAAAGAUCGAAAGCGGAUUCUCAGGGUGUUUUUGAUGCUUUCUGAACGCCAUUAACCUCGACGCACUUUUUCGCUCGAAACAAAUUGGCAAGAAAAUCAUGUGGGUCCCACGGCCUCACAGGCUGCGAAAAGAUAUGUAGAAACGAGAGUGAUGUACUGACGGGUGCGAUCAUACCAGCACUAAUGCACCGGAUCCCAUCAGAACUCCGCAGUUAAGCGUGCUUGGGCGAGAGUAGUACUAGGAUGGGUGACCUCCCGGGAAGUCCUCGUGUUGCACCCCUUUUUAUUUUUUAAUUUUUUUUAAUGCAUCCUAAGACGAGUCUAAACUUGGAAACCUCAUAACUUUUGAACCGUGAGGAACUACGUCGCCCAUAGCACCAUUUCGGAAAGCCCCAGAAACCAUAAUGGGCGGUGAAUAGGCGGCGCCAAUUUUUCGGGCUCAAAUUCAGCCGUUUUGACCCUCAAACGGGCUGCGGAAAGUUUUGGCACGCAAAAAAGAUCGAAAGCGGAUUCUCAGGGUGUUUUUGAUGCUUUCUGAACGCCAUUAACCUCGACGCACUUUUUCGCUCGAAACAAAUUGGCAAGAAAAUCAUGUGGGUCCCACGGCCUCACAGGCUGCGAAAAGGAUAUGUAGAAACGAGAGUGAUGUACUGACGGGUGCGAUCAUACCAGCACUAAUGCACCGGAUCCCAUCAGAACUCCGCAGUUAAGCGUGCUUGGGCGAGAGUAGUACUAGGAUGGGUGACCUCCCGGGAAGUCCUCGUGUUGCACCCCUUUUUAUUUUUUAAUUUUUUUUAAUGCAUCCUAAGACGAGUCUAAACUUGGAAACCUCAUAACUUUUGAACCGUGAGGAACUACGUCGCCCAUAGCACCAUUUCGGAAAGCCCCAGAAACCAUAAUGGGCGGUGAAUAGGCGGCGCCAAUUUUCGGGCUCAAAUUCAGCCGUUUUGACCCUCAAACGGGCUGCGGAAAGUUUUGGCACGCAAAAAAGAUCGAAAGCGGAUUCUCAGGGUGUUUUUGAUGCUUUCUGAACGCCAUUAACCUCGACGCACUUUUUCGCUCGAAACAAAUGGCAAGAAAAUCAUGUGGGUCCCACGGCCUCACAGGCUGCGAAAAGGAUAUGUAGAAACGAGAGUGAUGUACUGACGGGUGCGAUCAUACCAGCACUAAUGCACCGGAUCCCAUCAGAACUCCGCAGUUAAGCGUGCUUGGGCGAGAGUAGUACUAGGAUGGGUGACCUCCCGGGAAGUCCUCGUGUUGCACCCCUUUUUAUUUUUUAAUUUUUUUUAAUGCAUCCUAAGACGAGUCUAAACUUGGAAACCUCAUAACUUUUGAACCGUGAGGAACUACGUCGCCCAUAGCACCAUUUCGGAAAGCCCCAGAAACCAUAAUGGGCGGUGAAUAGGCGGCGCCAAUUUUUCGGGCUCAAAUUCAGCCGUUUUGACCCUCAAACGGGCUGCGGAAAGUUUUGGCACGCAAAAAAGAUCGAAAGCGGAUUCUCAGGGUGUUUUUGAUGCUUUCUGAACGCCAUUAACCUCGACGCACUUUUUCGCUCGAAACAAAAUGGCAAGAAAAUCAUGUGGGUCCCACGGCCUCACACAGGCUGCGAAAAGGAUAUGUAGAAACGAGAGUGAUGUACUGACGGGUGCGAUCAUACCAGCACUAAUGCACCGGAUCCCAUCAGAACUCCGCAGUUAAGCGUGCUUGGGCGAGAGUAGUACUAGGAUGGGUGACCUCCCGGGAAGUCCUCGUGUUGCACCCCUUUUUAUUUUUUAAUUUUUUUUAAUGCAUCCUAAGACGAGUCUAAACUUGGAAACCUCAUAACUUUUGAACCGUGAGGAACUACGUCGCCCAUAGCACCAUUUCGGAAAGCCCCAGAAACCAUAAUGGGCGGUGAAUAGGCGGCGCCAAUUUUUCGGGCUCAAAUUCAGCCGUUUUGACCCUCAAACGGGCUGCGGAAAGUUUUGGCACGCAAAAAAGAUCGAAAGCGGAUUCUCAGGGUGUUUUUGAUGCUUUCUGAACGCCAUUAACCUCGACGCACUUUUUCGCUCGAAACAAAUGGCAAGAAAAUCAUGUGGGUCCCACGGCCUCACAGGCUGCGAAAAGGAUAUGUAGAAACGAGAGUGAUGUACUGACGGGUGCGAUCAUACCAGCACUAAUGCACCGGAUCCCAUCAGAACUCCGCAGUUAAGCGUGCUUGGGCGAGAGUAGUACUAGGAUGGGUGACCUCCCGGGAAGUCCUCGUGUUGCACCCCUUUUUAUUUUUUAAUUUUUUUUAAUGCAUCCUAAGACGAGUCUAAACUUGGAAACCUCAUAACUUUUGAACCGUGAGGAACUACGUCGCCCAUAGCACCAUUUCGGAAAGCCCCAGAAACCAUAAUGGGCGGUGAAUAGGCGGCGCCAAUUUUUCGGGCUCAAAUUCAGCCGUUUUGACCCUCAAACGGGCUGCGGAAAGUUUUGGCACGCAAAAAAGAUCGAAAGCGGAUUCUCAGGGUGUUUUUGAUGCUUUCUGAACGCCAUUAACCUCGACGCACUUUUUCGCUCGAAACAAAUUGGCAAGAAAAUCAUGUGGGUCCCACGGCCUCACAGGCUGCGAAAAGGAUAUGUAGAAACGAGAGUGAUGUACUGACGGGUGCGAUCAUACCAGCACUAAUGCACCGGAUCCCAUCAGAACUCCGCAGUUAAGCGUGCUUGGGCGAGAGUAGUACUAGGAUGGGUGACCUCCCGGGAAGUCCUCGUGUUGCACCCCUUUUUAUUUUUUAAUUUUUUUUAAUGCAUCCUAAGACGAGUCUAAACUUGGAAACCUCAUAACUUUUGAACCGUGAGGAACUACGUCGCCCAUAGCACCAUUUCGGAAAGCCCCAGAAACCAUAAUGGGCGGUGAAUAGGCGGCGCCAAUUUUCGGGCUCAAAUUCAGCCGUUUUGACCCUCAAACGGGCUGCAGUUUUGGGAAAGACAUGGCACGCAAAAAAGAUCGAAAGCGGAUUCUCAGGUGUUUUUGAUGCUUUCUGAACGCCAUUAACCUCGACGCACUUUUUCGCUCGAAACAAAUUGGCAAGAAAAUCAUGUGGGUCCCACGGCCUCACAGGCUGCGAAAAGGAUAUGUAGAAACGAGAGUGAUGUACUGACGGGUGCGAUCAUACCAGCACUAAUGCACCGGAUCCCAUCAGAACUCCGCAGUUAAGCGUGCUUGGGCGAGAGUAGUACUAGGAUGGGUGACCUCCCGGGAAGUCCUCGUGUUGCACCCCUUUUUAUUUUUUAAUUUUUUUAAUGCAUCCUAAGACGAGUCUAAACUUGGAAACCUCAUAACUUUUGAACCGUGAGGAACUACGUCGCCCAUAGCACCAUUUCGGAAAGCCCCAGAAACCAUAAUGGGCGGUGAAUAGGCGGCGCCAAUUUUUCGGGCUCAAAUUCAGCCGUUUUGACCCUCAAACGGGCUGCGGAAAGUUUUGGCACGCAAAAAAGAUCGAAAGCGGAUUCUCAGGGUGUUUUUGAUGCUUUCUGAACGCCAUUAACCUCGACGCACUUUUUCGCUCGAAACAAAAUUGGCAAGAAAAUCAUGUGGGUCCCACGGCCUCACAGGCUGCGAAAAGGAUAUGUAGAAACGAGAGUGAUGUACUGACGGGUGCGAUCAUACCAGCACUAAUGCACCGGAUCCCAUCAGAACUCCGCAGUUAAGCGUGCUUGGGCGAGAGUUACUAGGAUGGGUGACCUCCCGGGAAGUCCUCGUGUUGCACCCCUUUUUAUUUUUUUAAU
rnacentral:lncRNA from 1 species